GAGAGAGAGAGAGAGGUCCUCUUUUCCAUUGGUUCACCCUCCAAUGGCCGCUGCGGCUGGCGCAUCGUGCUGAUCCGAUGGCAGGAGCCAGGUACUUCUCCUGGUCUCCCAUGGGUGCAGGGCCCAAGCACUUGGGCCAUCCUCCACUGCACUCCCUGACCACAGCAGAGAGCUGGCCUGGAAGAGGGGCAACUGGGACAGAAUCCGGCGCCCCGAUCGGGACUAGAACCCGGUGUGCCGGUGCCGCAGGCGGAGGAUUAGCCUACUGAGUCGCCGCACCGGCCCUGCGAUGUCUUCUUACUGUCCACCACGCUAUUCCCUAGUGCUCUGGACGGCAAGGACAGCCAAGCCACAAGGGGGCAGUACAGCGCUGGACAAGGAAGGCCCAGGUCACGUUCUGGGGCCACACACCCAGCGGGCUGGUAACCUCAGGGCUCACUUGUAAAGCAGACCUCUUGAGUGGCAAUAUUGAGUGAUGGCUCUCAAUUCUGCCUGCAAAUGAGAUGCACUUGAGAUGUUUUUGAACCUAAGAAUGCUUAGGCCCCAACCCCAGCUAAGUCAGAACCAUUGCUUUGGAAGAGAGCCCGGGUAGCAUCGAGUAUGGACGGAAAGCCGUCCAGGUGAUUCUUGUGUGCAAUCAAGGUCUAUUCCAGGACAUGGUGGACUUCCCUCCUCACACACCCCAGCAGGGCUCUCGGGCGCAAGCUGCCCUGCAGUCACGGCAGGAGCUUCAGGAUGUGCCACUCCCUGCACCCACGCCAGAUCCUUUUAGCUUGGGCUGAGUGUUUCAGGAAAAGUAUUGACAAAGGACUCCAAAGCACUCACUUUUAAGGAACUUAGAAAUGUAAAGAAUAUUCUGGAAGCCUGUGUUGGAUGAAAACUGUGAGCACGCUGAAGUUAAAGAUGUGUGUAAAGUAUCUGAAUAAAAGGGUUUCAGAACACAGGAGAAUGAAGGGAGUCCUGGAACCAAUCACCCAUGAAUACUGCAGGAUGACUAUUCUGCCUACAUGAGAGAAGCAUUGGCAUCAGUCACUUCACUUCUGUCUGGAAACAAGAGCUCUGAUCAUUGGAGACCCUGGGACAUUUACUAGGUGAGGUUAUUAGUAAAAUAUUUUCACACAGAGGGCGGGGGCCCAGGCCCCAGGUGGGAAGUGGGAUGAUUUAAGGUCAAACAUAGACUUAACAUCAUUAUAGUAUUGGAUCACAUCGUGAAAGAGUGAAUUCCUUUUUUAGUCUUUUCAGUUGCCUAAAAGGAGAGGUCUCAGUCAGGCAUCACCAAGUAGAUAAUAGAACCUACAAACAUUUGCCAGCCUCCCUCUAUAACACAGACAGGACAUCCCACAGGCUCAGAGUCUACUGCAGAUGAUAGUAACAGGCCAGAGCAUAAACACAUGAUUGUGUUCUUACUAUGUUCUUGUAGUGACCUUUUCUAUUUAUGAUAGUCAUAUAUGCAUUUGUUUUUAUUUUAUUGAUUUGAAAGGAAGAGUGACAGAUAGAUAGCUUCCAUUGUCUGGUUCAUUUUCCCAGUUCCUGCAAUAGCUAGGUCUGGGCCAAGCUGAAGCCAGGAGCCAGGGACUCCAUGCAGGUCUCCUCUGUGCGUGGCAGGGAUCCCAAUUCUUGAGCCAUCAUUUCCCCAGGAUGUGCACAAACAGGAAACUGGACCAGAAGUAGAGGUGGAACCCUAUCCCAGGUACUCUGAUAUGGGAUGUGAGCGUCCCAAGUGGUGGCUUAUCCUGCUGCACCACCAUACCUGCCCCUGUACAUGGGUUUUAAUGGAAAACAGUGAGAUGGUUUAAAGAACAGUGUUAUAGAAAUAGUAUAGGUACUAUAGUGUAAGUAAUAGGCAGAGUCGUGAGUUGUGAAUGUCUGUCAUUGCAUUAGAAUUCUCCAGAGAAACAGAACAGGGGACAGGUCUUGAUAUCUAUAUCUGUAUGUGCUAGAGAGCUAGGAAAGCUGGUGGCAUAGUCCAAAGAUCCAAGAGCAGAUGGUGUAGAGUCCGGUGCAAACCCGAAGACCUGAGAAUUAGAAAUUCCUGGGGCAGGAGAUCUAUGUCCCAGCUUCAAGGAAGAAGAGAGAGGUUCAGUCCUUCCUUCCUCUGCCUCUUUGCUCCAUUCAUCACCAUUGAGUGAUGCCCACCCACUUUGGGGAGGGCCAUCCGGUUUAUUUAGUCUUCAGAUUCAGAUGCUAAUCGUUUCCAGAUAUACCUAGAAAUAGCACCUAACCAGGCAUAUAGACAUCUCAUGAUUCAGUCAAAUCGACACAUGCCAUGCACUGUCACGAACAUUAGGUCUCUGAUCUAUGCAACAGAUGUCAUAGAACAUAUUUUUGUUUCUUAUGAAGCUAGGAAAGCACAUCCUUUUGAGUGUGUAAGCUCAUCUCUUGUGCUUACUUGAGCUGGAAAUUUGGUUGGUUCUUUCAAAGGAUUCAGGAUUCUCAGUUUCUAGGAAUGUUGACCCUUGAACUCCCCAUGAAGCCCCAAGGUGAUUGUCAUCAGUGAAACUCUUCUGUGGCUCUCACAUAAUUGACACCUCAGAACCUUUUGGAAAAAAAUCCUCCCCUAUAAUCUCACAUUCUAAAAAUAGCCUUGACUUUUGGAUUGCUGCUUAAUGAAAAUCUAUUUUUCGAUUACACUGGAGGCAAAGAAAAAAUUUCCAGUAUCAAUUUGAAACUUGUGGGAAAACAAAAUGAAAGUUUCACUGUUCUCGUCGAAGGUUUUGGUGUUGAAGUUUUUGCCACACUGGCUGACUUCUGAGUGUGCUAGGGCCCGGGGAGGAAGGAAGGGUGAAAUCUGUCAGCAGUCAUUUGAUCUGUCACUUAUUACUCAGAUCUGACACCAAGUGCAGGGGCUGUAGCAGGAAGAUGCAGCUAACAUCACUGCACACAUCUUAGUCAGGGAGAGCGUCUCUGAAAUCCUACGGUUUCUCUGAGUCAUUACUGUAGCAUCUCUCCUUACAGUGAAACUUCACCAUGACAUUGUCGUGCAGCCCAGCCAGAGAGCCUCGUUCUGUGCUUUGUGGGGCCACACACGAGAGGGCUUGGUUUCCAGUGAGGCAAUGCGAGUCCCUUUACCAGGCACUCUCACUCACUGGGUGGCCCACAGCACAGUGUCACGGCGGCCAGUCAGCUCUCGGGUGUAUCCGGUGGGAAAUCUUGCUUGGUGCUGGCUUUUGGAAGAGUGAGUAGUGUGUGAGACACCAUAUAGCCUAGGGUAACGUCAUCCACGGUCAAGACACAGAUUUCUCCCAUUCCUUGCAAGGAGGUAUUUCCCUUAUCACCAAAUCACAUGGUAGAUACAUAGCCAAAAAUAUUUUGCACCUAUACUUGGGUCCAGAUUUCUGCCUUCCCACUCAGGAAAAAUGGGAUCCUUUCUAAGUCUCAAUUUUUUUGCAUCCCUAUGAUGGGACCUGUAAUCCCUGCCUUGGCCAUGUAUGACGUUGCUUUUGAAGUCCUCGUGCAGUGUCUCAG